UACGGGGGGGGGCAAGCGUUGUUCGGAAUUACUGGGCGUAAAGCGCACGUAGGCGGAUCGAUCAGUCAGGGGUGAAAUCCCAGAGCUCAACUCUGGAACUGCCUUUGAUACUGUCGAUCUGGAGUAUGGAAGAGGUGAGUGGAAUUCCGAGUGUAGAGGUGAAAUUCGUAGAUAUUCGGAGGAACACCAGUGGCGAAGGCGGCUCACUGGUCCAUUACUGACGCUGAGGUGCGAAAGCGUGGGGAGCAAACAGG
rnacentral:rRNA from 1 species